rnacentral:rRNA from 1 species
AGUAGCCGCGGUAAUUCCAGCUCCAAUAGCGUAUAUUAAAGUUGUUGCAGUUAAAAGCUCGUAGUUGAAUUUCAGGCCUGGCUGGACGGUCCGCCCUUCGGGUGAGUACUGUCUGUGGUCGGGUCCUACCUUCUGGCGAAGCGUCAUGGCCUUAACCGGCCGUGGCGGGGAACCAGGACUUUUACUGUGAAAAAUUAGAGUGUUCAAAGCAGGCAAUCGCUUGGAUACAUUAGCAUGGAAUAAUGGAAUAGGACAAUGGUUCUAUUUGUUGGUUUCUAGGACCGUUGUAAUGAUUAAUAGGGAUAGUUGGGGGCAUUAGUAUUCAAUUGUCAGAGGUGAAAUUCUUGGAUUUAUUGAAGACUAACUACUGCGAAAGCAUUUGCCAAGGAUGUUUUCAUUAAUCAAGAACGAAAGUUAGGGGAUCGAAGACGAUCAGAUACCGUCGUAGUCUUAACCAUAAACCUAUGCCGACUAGGAAUCGGGCGAUGUUGAAAAAUGACGCGCUCGGCACCUCAUGGGA